UAUAUAUUGGUGUAAGGCACAAAAAAUUUUGAUUUUUUAAGAGGUGGUUGAAGUCCAUUGUAUAUAA
rnacentral:tRNA from 1 species